rnacentral:lncRNA from 1 species
CUCCCCUCCUCCCACCCUUCCACCCUCCCCUCCUUCCACCCUCCCUCCCUCUCUCUUCUCCAACCGUCUGGAAUCAAAUACAUGAGAUUCUAGCCACGGGAGGGCAGAAGAAGGAGGACAGAGAGAGAGAGAGCAUGGUGAGCCCACAAAAGAGAUGGCCCCUAGUUAUUUAGUUGUGAGCAAUGUCCCAAGGCCCCUGUCCGAGGGCUCCUCAGACUGUGGCCCAUGGAUCAGCAUCCUCCGUGAACCCGGUAGAAUCCCAGAUCCUGGAUCCCACCCCAGUCCUGCUGACUCACAGAGCCUUGAACGUGUGCCACUUGGAUGGCAGCUGCAAAUCUCUUUCCUGCCACUGGGCUGCAACAUUCAUGUGACCCUCCAGUGUUCGUCUCCCUCUGCCUUUUAUCAGACCGUCUUGGGAUCAUGGACCCAUUUGAGAGUCUUAUGAAAGCAGAGAACUCUCACCUAGGGAGGAAAUGUGUACAUGGACAAGUGCACAAAAUGCCGCGGCUGGAAGCCCAGAUGUGGACUAUUGGCUUAGAACCUGGAGGUAGGCGGUGCCUGGGUGGCUCAGUCCGUUAAGUGUCUGACUCUUGGUUUCGGGGCUCAGGUCAUGAUGUCAAGGUUUGUGCGUUCGAGCUCUGCAUCAAACUCUGCGCUCAGAUCCAGGGUCUCCCUCUCUCUGUGCCCUUCCCCUACUCUCUCUCAAAAACAAACAUUUAAAAAAAAAAACAAAGAAAAGAAAAGAAACCCGGAAAUAGGCUUUAAACUCUGAAAGUGCAGCACCUAUUCCUGUCU